rnacentral:lncRNA from 1 species
GCUGCAAAAAGACUUCGCCCGGACUCCUACGGGAGCCGGACCUCAUCCCCGACUCUGGUUGUAGAAAAGACUUCGCCCGGACUCCUACGGGAGCCGGACCUCAUCCCCGACUUCGGCUGCAGGCAGACCUCAUCCGGACUCCUACGGGAGCCUGACUCUGCCCACGACUUCAAUUACAGGUAGACCUCAUCCGGACUCCUAUGGGAGCCGGACUUCGCCCCC